rnacentral:SRP_RNA from 1 species
GCCAGGUAUGGUGGUGCAUGCCUAUAGUCCCAGCUACUUGGGAGGCUGAGGUGGGAGGAUUGCUUGAGCCCAGGAGGUUGAGGGUGCAGUGAGCCGUGAUCGCAUCACUGCACUCUAGCCUGGGUGACAGAGUGAGAACUUGUCUCAA